ACUCCUACGGGAGGCAGCAGUAGGGAAUCUUCCACAAUGGGCGCAAGCCUGAUGGAGCAACACCGCGUGAGUGAAGAAGGGUUUCGGCUCGUAAAGCUCUGUUGUUAAAGAAGAACACGUAUGAGAGUAACUGUUCAUACGUUGACGGUAUUUAACCAGAAAGUCACGGCUAACUACGUGCCAGCAGCCGCGGUAAUACGUAGGUGGCAAGCGUUAUCCGGAUUUAUUGGGCGUAAAGAGAGUGCAGGCGGUUUUCUAAGUCUGAUGUGAAAGCCUUCGGCUUAACCGGAGAAGUGCAUCGGAAACUGGAUAACUUGAGUGCAGAAGAGGUAGUGGAACUCCAUGUGUAGCGGUGGAAUGCGUAGAUAUAUGGAAGAACACCAAGUGGCGAAGGCGGCUACCUGGUCUGC
rnacentral:rRNA from 1 species